CCUACGGGAGGCAGCAGUGAGGAAUAUUGGUCAAUGGGCGCGAGCCUGAACCAGCCAAGUCGCGUGAGGGAAGACGGUCCUAUGGAUUGUAAACCUCUUUUGUCGGGGAGCAAAAGACGCCACGCGUGGCGUUCCGAGAGUACCCGAAGAAAAAGCAUCGGCUAACUCCGUGCCAGCAGCCGCGGUAAUACGGAGGAUGCGAGCGUUAUCCGGAUUUAUGGGGUUUAAGGGGGGCGAAGGCGGAAUAUCAAGUCAGCGGUAAAAUUGAGAGGCUCAACCUCUUCGAGCCGUUGAAACUGGUUUUCUUGAGUGAGCGAGAGGUAUGCGGAAUGCGUGGUGUAGCGGUGAAAUGCGUAGAUAUCACGCAGAACUCCGAUUGCGAAGGCAGCAUACCGGCGCUCAACUGACGCUCAUGCACGAAAGUGUGGGUAUCGAACAGGAUUAGAUACCCGUGUAGUC
rnacentral:rRNA from 1 species